rnacentral:rRNA from 1 species
UACAGAGGGGGCAAGCGUUAUUCGGAAUUAUUGGGCGUAAAGGGCGCGUAGGCGGCUUUUCAAGUGACGGGUGAAAUCCCUCGGCUUAACCUGGGAACUGCGUCGGAUACUGGAUGGCUUGAAUUCGGGAGAGGGAUGCAGAAUUCCAGGUGUAGCGGUGAAAUGCGUAGAGUAUCUGGAGGAAUACCGGUGGCGAAGGCGGCAUCCUGGACCGACAUUGACGCUGAACGGCGAAAGCUAGGGAGCAAACGGG